GUCAGUGGUUUUCCCGCAGUGACAAUGAACUUACCGCAUCCCGUCCGGUCUGCGCAGUCAAACAUUGUAGGGCCGAGUCAGUAGUGCGGUGGGGGACCACGUGUGAAUACUCUGGUGCCCCAGGUA
rfam:Melampsora larici-populina 98AG31 unplaced genomic scaffold MELLAscaffold_72, whole genome shotgun sequence.